UACAGGGGGGGGCAAGCGUUGUUCGGAAUUACUGGGCGUAAAGGGCUCGUAGGCGGCCAACUAAGUCACACGUGAAAUCCCCAGGCUUAACCUGGGAACUGCGUGUGAUACUGGAUGGCUUGAAUUCGGGAGAGGGAUGCAGAAUUCCAGGUGUAGCGGUGAAAUGCGUAGAUAUCUGGAGGAAUACCGGUGGCGAAGGCGACAUCCUGGACCAACACUGACGCUGAGGAGCGAAAGCCAGGGGAGCAAACGGG
rnacentral:rRNA from 1 species